rnacentral:rRNA from 1 species
CAUUGCUUAAUGAAAAUAUUAAGUAAAUUCUGCCCAGUGAUUUUAACGGCCGCAGUACCUUGACUGUGCUAAGGUAGCAUAAUAAUUUGGCUUUUAAUUGAAGUCUAGUAUGAAUGGGAAACAGGAAAAUUGUCUCUUUAAAAAAAUAUAAUUUACUUACUAGGUGAAAAUUCCUAGGGGUAUAUUAGACGAGAAGACCCUUAGAAUUUUUAUAAUUUUUGUUGGGGCGACAAUAUUACAUUAAACUUUUAUUUGUUUUAUACAAGACGAGAAAGAUUAAAUUACCUGAGGGAUAACAGCAUAAUUUAAAGAUUAUGACCUCGAUGUUGGAUUAGGGAAUAAUGGUUAGUAAUUAUUAUUGUUCUGUUCGAACCCUACGUGAUCU